UGUCUGUUUACGUGAUGAUAUGAAGAAGUCAUAAGAGAAAGGCAGGAUGGCUGUAGGAUGGUGUUUACUCUGCUCCUGUUGUCUGUCAUUGUGAAACAAAGUAUUUCAAACUCAAACACCAAUUUAAAGAUGUGAAGAAAGAAGAGGGAGUAAAAGAAGGAAUAAAAGAACGGAAGACUGUACUGCAUGAAAAUCCCAGGAGGGCAGCUGUUUCUGUGAUGCUGGAACCACCACAUCUGGCACCAUCCAUCUGGCACAGUCAAAGUCGCUUAGAUCACACAUCUUGCCCAUUCUAAUAGGCUAAUUUGGGUUGGAAGCCACUUGUGGUCCAGUCUGGUCUGAUGUGUUCCUGUCUCCUUAGAUAGGGGGGCGCCGUUUUCUAAAAUGAGUCUCUCAGAGGAGCCAGAGACCAAAGGAGGAACCCUCAGCACUGAGAGGAAGAGGGUCCAGGUAGAAAGAGCAGGGUCACCUGUACCCAGCUGUGUGUCUCUGAAGA